rnacentral:tRNA from 1 species
GUUUUAAUAGUUUAAAAAAAAUUAUGAUCUUGUAAAUCAUAGAUAGGAAUAAAACCUUUAAAACU